rnacentral:rRNA from 1 species
GGAAGUAAAAGUCGUAACAAGGUUUCCGUAGGUGAACCUGCGGAAGGAUCAUUACCACACCUAAAAACAUUCCACGUGAACCGUAUCAACCCCAAGUUGGGGGUUUCAUUGGCGGCGGCUGCUGGCAUCUUUUUGCUGGCUGGCUACUGCUGAGAGAACCCUAUCGUGAGCGUUCUGACCUUGGUUGGAGCUAGUAACUUAUUAUAAACCCAUUCCUAAUACUGAAUAUACUGUGGGGACGAAAGUCUCUGCUUUUAACUAGAUAGCAACUUUCAGCAGUGGAUGUCUAGGCUCGCACAUCGAUGAAGACGCUGCGAACUGCGAUACGUAAUACGAAUUGCGGAAUUCAGUGAGUCAUCGAAAUUUUGAACGCAUAUUGCACUUUCGGGUUAUCCCUGGAAGUAUGCCUGUAUCAGUGUCCAUACAUCAAACUUGGUUUUCUUCUUUCCGUGUAGUCGGUGGAGGAUAUGCCAGAUGUGAAGUGUCUUGCGGCUGGUUUUUUUGAAUCGGCUGCGAGUCCUUUGAAAUGUAUGGAACUGACUCUCUUUUGUUCGAAAAGCGUGGCGUUGCUGGUUGUGAAGGCUGCUAGUAUGACUAGUCGGCGACCGGUUUGUCUGCUAUGGCAUGAAUGGAAGAGUGUUCGAUUCGCGGUAUGGUUGGCUUCGGCUGAACAGGCGCGUAUUGGACGUUCAUCCCGCUGUGGCGUAUAACUGGUGAACCGUAGUUCAUGCAUGGCUUGGCGUUUGAAUCAGCUUUGCUGCUGCGAAGUAGAGUGACAGUUUUGGCUGUCGAGGGUCGACCUAUUUGAGAAAUUGUGCUGUGCGACUCGGUCACGUGGCAUCUCAAUUGGACCUGAUAUCAGGCAAGAUUACCCGCUGAACUUAAGCAUAUCAAUAAGCGGAGGA